rnacentral:rRNA from 1 species
UGGGGAAUAUUACACAAUGGAGGAAACUCUGAUGUAGCAACGCCGCGUGGAGGAUGACACAUUUCGGUGCGUAAACUCCUUUUAUAUGGGAAGAUAAUGACGGUACCAUAUGAAUAAGCACCGGCUAACUCCGUGCCAGCAGCCGCGGUAAUACGGAGGGUGCAAGCGUUACUCGGAAUCACUGGGCGUAAAGCGCGCGCAGGCGGUCUUUUAAGUUGGAUGUGAAAUCCUAUGGCUCAACCAUAGAACUGCAUCCAAAACUGAAAGACUAGAGUCUGGGAGGGGAAGAUGGAAUUAGUGGUGUAGGGGUAAAAUCCGUAGAGAUCACUAGGAAUACCAAAAGCGAAGGCGAUCUUCUGGAACAGUACUGACGCUGAGGCGCGAAAGCGUGGGGAGCGAA